UGAUCCACAAUCUGUUUCGUUGUUGGCGUGGGACACGGCAACCAAGGGGUGGCCGUGGCGGACCCGGACACGCGGUCGCCUGUUAUGUAAUAAACCAGGCAAAGGUUAGGGUGAGGUGAGGAUCCGCAGAACUAGAAAGCGACAUGGCGGCCGCGAUGAGGCUCUGUGCCCGCACGCUCCGGCGAACGCAGCAGUCGGCGGCAGCCUCGACGCAGCAGCGGCGGGUCUCGCCAAGGUGGUUCGGCAACACAAGGGUGUGUCUCGCCAAGGUGGUUCGGCAACACAAGGGCCACCACGGCGGAAGAGCAAAGAGACUUGGCGCGGGCUGCGGAGAUGAAAGAGGAGCUCUACAAUACGAUCUCUGACAUUACAAAGAAGUACAAGGUUCGUGGACAGACAGGCAGAGACAACAGGCUGCUGCUCGAGCGACUCUCCAUGCAAGUCGAGCCUAGACCCAGUGACCCCUACUGGCGGUCUUGUUGUAGAACGGAAAUAACCAAUCAUAUCUUGAUCACGGUUGGAUCAUGCUCUCUUAUGAUGAUGGCUCCUUCUGCUUUGGGUUGGCUGAUUACAGCGGUAACCCCUCGAAAAAAGAAUUGUUGGAGCAAUGGUGGGACGCAGUAUUCGGAAACUAGACUUGGGUCGAGGAGCUCCGGGAUUGGUGGAGGCAGCGCUAGCUCAAGUCAAGUAUGAUGCACAUCAAUGACUGAUUACUCAAGACGAUCAACCGUUUAUCAGCUAGCCACCAUAGUUUGUUAAUUAAUUGUUUAUCAGCUAGGGGUGUAAUAGUUGAAGUCCAUUAGCAUUAUAGUUCAACUAUGUAAAUGUUUGAGAACACCAACGCACAAGAAUGAUGCUA